CCUACGGGUGGCUGCAGUGAGGAAUCUUGCGCAAUGGGGGAAACCCUGACGCAGCAACGCCGCGUGAGUGAGGAAGGUCUUCGGAUCGUAAAGCUCUGUCGGGUGGAAAGAAAUGUAUGGGGUUAAUAGCCUUCAUACUUGACGGUACCACCAAAGGAAGCACCGGCUAACUCCGUGCCAGCAGCCGCGGUAAUACGGGGGGUGCAAGCGUUGUUCGGAAUGAGUGGGGGCAAAGAGGGUGUACAGGUCUGAAAGCACUGGGCUUAACCCAGGAAGUGCAUUUGAAACUGCCAGGCUUGAGUAGGGGAGAGGGAAGUGGAAUUCCUGGUGUAGAGGUGAAAUUCGUAGAUAUCAGGAGGAACACCGGUGGCGAAGGCGACUUCCUGGCCCUAUACUGACGCUGAGACGCGAGAGCGUGGGUAGCAAACAGGAUUAGAUACCCGAGUAGUC
rnacentral:rRNA from 1 species